AUGAGAGUUUGAUCCUGGCUCAGGACGAACGCUGGCGGCGUGCCUAAUACAUGCAAGUAGAACGCUGAGGUUUGGUGUUUACACUAGACUGAUGAGUUGCGAACGGGUGAGUAACGCGUAGGUAACCUGCCUCAUAGCGGGGGAUAACUAUUGGAAACGAUAGCUAAUACCGCAUAAGAGUAAUUAACACAUGUUAGUUAUUUAAAAGGAGCAAUUGCUUCACUGUGAGAUGGACCUGCGUUGUAUUAGCUAGUUGGUGAGGUAAAGGCUCACCAAGGCGACGAUACAUAGCCGACCUGAGAGGGUGAUCGGCCACACUGGGACUGAGACACGGCCCAGACUCCUACGGGAGGCAGCAGUAGGGAAUCUUCGGCAAUGGACGGAAGUCUGACCGAGCAACGCCGCGUGAGUGAAGAAGGUUUUCGGAUCGUAAAGCUCUGUUGUUAGAGAAGAACGUUGGUAGGAGUGGAAAAUCUACCAAGUGACGGUAACUAACCAGAAAGGGACGGCUAACUACGUGCCAGCAGCCGCGGUAAUACGUAGGUCCCGAGCGUUGUCCGGAUUUAUUGGGCGUAAAGCGAGCGCAGGCGGUUCUUUAAGUCUGAAGUUAAAGGCAGUGGCUUAACCAUUGUACGCUUUGGAAACUG
rnacentral:rRNA from 1 species